AUACGUAGGGGGCGAGCGUUGUCCGGAAUGAUUGGGCGUAAAGGGCGCGUAGGCGGCGCGGUAAGUCUGGAGUGAAAGUCCUGCUUUCAAGGUGGGAAUUGCUUUGGAUACUGCCGCGCUUGAGUGCGGGAGAGGUUAUCGGAAUUCCCGGUGUAGCGGUGAAAUGCGUAGAGAUCGGGAGGAACACCAGUGGCGAAGGCGGGUAACUGGACUGCAACUGACGCUGAGGCGCGAAAGUGUGGGGAGCAAACAGGAUUAGAUACCCUGGUAGUCCACACUGUAAACGAUGAAUGCUAGGUGUAAGAGGUAUCGACCCCUUUUGUGCCGGAGUCAACACAAUAAGCAUUCCGCCUGGGGAGUACGGCCGCAAGGUUGAAACUCAAAGGAAUUGACGGGG
rnacentral:rRNA from 1 species